GAUGAACGCUGGCGGCGUGCCUAAUACAUGCAAGUCGAGCGAACAGACGAGGAGCUUGCUCCUCUGACGUUAGCGGCGGACGGGUGAGUAACACGUGGAUAACCUACCUAUAAGACUGGGAUAACUUCGGGAAACCGGAGCUAAUACCGGAUAAUAUAUUGAACCGCAUGGUUCAAUAGUGAAAGACGGUUUUGCUGUCACUUAUAGAUGGAUCCGCGCCGCAUUAGCUAGUUGGUAAGGUAACGGCUUACCAAGGCAACGAUGCGUAGCCGACCUGAGAGGGUGAUCGGCCACACUGGAACUGAGACACGGUCCAGACUCCUACGGGAGGCAGCAGUAGGGAAUCUUCCGCCAUGGGCGAAAGCCUGACGGAGCAACGCCGCGUGAGUGAUGAAGGUCUUCGGAUCGUAAAACUCUGUUAUUAGGGAAGACCAAAUGUGUAAGUAACUAUGCACGUCUUGACGGUACCUAAUCAGAAAGCCACGGCUAACUACGUG
rnacentral:rRNA from 1 species